UUUUAUUUGAGAGUUUGAUCCUGGCUCAGGAUGAACGCUGGCGGCGUGCCUAACACAUGCAAGUUGAGCGAUUUACUUCGGUAAAGAGCGGCGGACGGGUGAGUAACGCGUGGGUAACCUACCCUGUACACACGGAUAACAUACCGAAAGGUAUGCUAAUACGGGAUAAUAUAUUUGAGAGGCAUCUCUUAAAUAUCAAAGGUGAGCCAGUACAGGAUGGACCCGCGUCUGAUUAGCUAGUUGGUAAGGUAACGGCUUACCAAGGCGACGAUCAGUAGCCGACCUGAGAGGGUGAUCGGCCACAUUGGA
rnacentral:rRNA from 1 species